rnacentral:rRNA from 1 species
UACGUAGGGGGCAAGCGUUGUCCGGAAUCAUUGGGCGUAAAGCGCGCGUAGGCGGUCCGGUAAGUCCGCUGUGAAAGUCGGGGGCUCAACCCUGGGAUGCCGGUGGAUACUGUCGGGCUUGAGUACGGAAGAGGCGAGUGGAAUUCCUGGUGUAGCGGUGAAAUGCGCAGAUAUCAGGAGGAACACCAAUUGCGAAGGCAGCUCGCUGGGACGUUACUGACGCUGAGACGCGAAAGCGUGGGGAGCAAACAGG